AGAGCUUGCUCUUGGGUGACGAGUGGCGGACGGGUGAGUAAUGUCUGGGAAACUGCCUGAUGGAGGGGGAUAACUACUGGAAACGGUAGCUAAUACCGCAUAACGUCGCAAGACCAAAGAGGGGGACCUUCGGGCCUCUUGCCAUCAGAUGUGCCCAGAUGGGAUUAGCUAGUAGGUGGGGUAAUGGCUCACCUAGGCGACGAUCCCUAGCUGGUCUGAGAGGAUGACCAGCCACACUGGAACUGAGACACGGUCCAGACUCCUACGGGAGGCAGCAGUGGGGAAUAUUGCACAAUGGGCGCAAGCCUGAUGCAKCCAUGCCGCGUGUAUGAARAAGGCCUUCGGGUUGUAAAGUACUUUCAGCGAGGAGGAAGGCAAUGCGGUUAAUAACCGUGUUGAUUGACGUUACUCGCAGAAGAAGCACCGGCUAACUCCGUGCCAGCASCCGCGGUAAUACUGAGGGUGCAAGCGUUAAUCGGAAUUACUGGGCGUAAAGCGCACGCAGGCGGUCUGUCAAGUCGGAUGURAAAUCCCGGGGCUCAACCUGGGAACUGCAUUCGAAACUGGCAGGCUAGAGUCUUGUA
rnacentral:rRNA from 1 species